GGGGCUAUACUGCAAGUCGAGCGAACUGAUUAGAAGCUUGCUUCUAUGACGUUAGCGGCGGACGGGUGAGUAACACGUGGGCAACCUGCCUGUAAGACUGGGAUAACUUCGGGAAACCGAAGCUAAUACCGGAUAGGAUCUUCUCCUUCAUGGGAGAUGAUUGAAAGAUGGUUUCGGCUAUCACUUACAGAUGGGCCCGCGGUGCAUUAGCUAGUUGGUGAGGUAACGGCUCACCAAGGCAACGAUGCAUAGCCGACCUGAGAGGGUGAUCGGCCACACUGGGACUGAGACACGGCCCAGACUCCUACGGGAGGCAGCAGUAGGGAAUCUUCCGCAAUGGACGAAAGUCUGACGGAGCAACGCCGCGUGAGUGAUGAAGGCUUUCGGGUCGUAAAACUCUGUUGUUAGGGAAGAACAAGUACGAGAGUAACUGCUCGUACCUUGACGGUACCUAACCAGAAAGCCACGGCUAACUACGUGCCAGCAGCCGCGGUAAUACGUAGGUGGCAAGCGUUAUCCGGAAUUAUUGGGCGUAAAGCGCGCGCAGGCGGUUUCUUAAGUCUGAUGUGAAAGCCCACGGCUCAACCGUGGAGGGUCAUUGGAAACUGGGGAACUUGAGUGCAGAAGAGAAAAGCGGAAUUCCACGUGUAGCGGUGAAAUGCGUAGA
rnacentral:rRNA from 2 species